AUUGCCCUAGUAACGGCGAGUGAAGCGGCAACAGCUCAAAUUUGAAAUCUGGCGUCUUUGGCGUCCGAGUUGUAAUUUGCAGAGGGCGCUUUGGCAUUGGCAGCGGUCCAAGUUCCUUGGAACAGGACGUCACAGAGGGUGAGAAUCCCGUACGUGGUCGCUAGCCUUUACCGUGUAAAGCCCCUUCGACGAGUCGAGUUGUUUGGGAAUGCAGCUCUAAAUGGGAGGUAAAUUUCUUCUAAAGCUAAAUACUGGCCAGAGACCGAUAGCGCACAAGUAGAGUGAUCGAAAGAUGAAAAGCACUUUGGAAAGAGAGUUAAAAAGCACGUGAAAUUGUUGAAAGGGAAGCGCUUGCAGCCAGACUUGCCUGUAGUUGCUCAUCCGGGUUUUUACCCGGUGCACUCUUCUAUAGGCAGGCCAGCAUCAGUUUGGGCGGUUGGAUAAAGGUCUCUGUCACGUACCUCCUCUCGGGGAGAACUUAUAGGGGAGACGUAAUGCAACCAGCCUGGACUGAGGUCCGCGCAUCUGCUAGGAUGCUGGCGUAAUGGCUGUAAGCGGCCCGUCUUGAAACACGGACCAAGGAGUCUAACAUCUAUGCGAGUGUUUGGGUGUCAAGCCCGAGCGCGUAAUGAAAGUGAACGGAGGUGGGAACCUUUCGGGGUGCACCAUCGACCGAUCCUGAUGUCUUCGGAUGGAUUUGAGUAAGAGCAUAGCUGUUGGGACCCGAAAGAUGGUGAACUAUGCUUGAAUAGGGUGAAGCCAGAGGAAACUCUGGUGGAGGCUCGCAGCGGUUCUGACGUGCAAAUCGAUCGUCAAAUUUGGGCAUAGGGGCGAAAGACUAAUCGAACUAUCUAGUAGCUGGUUUCCUGCCGAAG
rnacentral:rRNA from 1 species